AGAACUGUUGUACAUGACAACGUGAAAGCAAACAAGAAUAUGAAUAAUUCCUUUUUUAUUUUUACCCCAAUUUUUUAUACCGUUAGUUGGCUGAUCCAAGCCUCUAUGUUCGCACAUAGCUUAUAUAUACAUGGAUCCAUUCCUCCGCCCAUCUAUCCAUAAAAGCCGCUCGCUUUGUUCGGUGGGUGAUAUCAGAAGCUCUAGAUCCUUACAUCCUCCAUCGACCUUUCGUGAUCCUGUUCUUCUCUCGAACAGUCGCUGUCUUCUCUUCUAUAAACGUGUGUGCGUGCCCGUUUAUUUAUUCAUUCUGUAUGUGGGUUUUCUAUCUAUGUGUUGGCUAGGGUUAGGUUGUCAUUGACAUGGCCAAUCUUCACUUCCGGUCUGAAACCUGAUGGAUCGACCUGUGCAUCCUGCAUCUUGCACUCGAGGGAAGAUAUACUUACAUUUUCGUUAAAUUGCUACAUGUUUUCUUGUCAAUGAUUAAGGUUUAAGAGAGCUUUCUUCAGUCCACUCAUGGGCGGCUGUAGGGUUUAAUUAGCUGCCGACUCAUUCAUCCAAAUACUGUGUUAGAAGGCGAUCAUACCCAGUAAAUGAGUGAAUGACGCGGGAGACAAAUUAAAUCUUAAGCUUCCUGUACUUGGACUGAAGGGAGCUCCCUUUCUCCUUUUCUUUGCUCUGUCGGUUCAAAUUUAUUUAUAUUAACAAAUUAAUAAUUAAAUACGAGUGGUUUGCUUUGUUACUGCUAAAGAUCACCAAUUAUUUUCACUUUUGGAACACAAAGUACGCUUCUGGUGAUGCUGAGUUAAUGUCACAUACUACUAAGUAUACAAAUUAACCAAAUCUUUUUGUAAGUUCCACAUUAAGACUAUCAUCAAUUUAAGUUUUUAGUCGUUAAUUAUCUUAUUUGGUAAUCCUGCAAUAGAAAGAUCAGGUGAUUUACCUCUGAAAAUCGUCAACAAAGGUAUGUUUGUGCAGACUGCAGAUCGAGAGCCUUCUCGCCCUUGUGCGUAAAUGACUGGUUUUCCUUGUCUUUUCUCUCUUUUGAUUAUCAUUAAUUAAGACUGCUUCUGGUAGGGUUAGUUAGUAAGGUAUUCUUGUUCUAGCUAUCUUUCUCCCAAAAAAUAUACCUCGGAACUAUUCUAUGAAUUACUGUUUUGCUUUUAAGUUUCGUUUACUGUUGUGAAUAUAGACUUGGGGUUCAGCCAAGGAGCAAUUAACGCUAAUGGAUCGUAUUUACGAGGCAGAGCUCGAGAAGCUCGUUAUCUGAUGCUCUAUGGCAACAGCAUGCGUCUUGGGUCUUGCUCUCUCACUGCAACAAGUUCCUAGACUUUUCCCUAACAGGUUACAAUUAAUUACCCAAAUAUCCACUCAAGUUCCAGCAACGGUGGUGCAGGAACAAGUUCCAAGGAUUUCAUUCGCACAUCUGUGGAAGUAUUUUCGUAUCCUCGGCGACGACCUUUUUUGACUGGAGGAGACAACAAUCUAACAGCGGUACCGGACUCUCGGCGCUCUCUGUGACAACGACUAUUGAGCUUUAGGAUUAAGCCACAAGCUGCCAGAGAUUGAUAAGGAUCCUUAAAGCAUUGUUAUUGGAUUAUGUACAUAUAAAAGAUACUGAAUAGAAGAUGAAUUCAGAAUUUAGUUAUUCUAUUUUA